rnacentral:rRNA from 1 species
UUCUCGAAGCUUAGAGGGCUAAGUGUCUUACUGUCAUAAGUAUUCUUAAUAAGAAAUGAAAUGUUGAUAUAUCUAGUUUUUUUAGAUAAUUUAAUUAUUUUAGGAAUUUGGGGAUGAGCUUGAAUUAGUAAUAGAAGUUUUGUUAUAACUGUUCUAUAAAAACGUAUAUWUUAAUUGUUUUAGUGAAAAUGAUAAAAUUAGUAUAAGGUGAAUUAAAGGAAUUCGGCAAAUAUCUUUUACCUGUUUAUUAAAAACAUGGCCUUUUGAUUAUAAUUUAAGGUCGGGCCUGCCCGCUGAGGCCGCGGUAUUUUGACCGUGCUAAGGUAGCAUAAUCAAUAGCUUUUUAAUUGAGAGCUGGAAUGAAGGGUCGGAUAAAAAGAUAACUGUCUUUGAUUUAUAGAAUUUUAUUUUUAAGUUAGAAAGCUUAAAUAAUUCUAAAAGACGAGAAGACCCUAUAGAGUUUCAUUUUGGUUGGGGUGAUUAGAAAAUUGAAUUAACUUUUGAUUAUAAGAUAAAAUUACCUUAGGGAUAACAGCGUUAUUCUUUCUAGAGUUCUAAUCGAUGAGAGAGUUUGCGACCUCGA